rnacentral:rRNA from 1 species
UACGUAGGGAGCAAGCGUUGUCCGGAAUCAUUGGGCGUAAAGCGCGCGUAGGCGGCCUCAUAAGUCCGUUGUGAAAGUCAAAGGCUCAACCUUUGAAAGCCGAUGGAUACUGUGAGGCUAGGGUCCGGAAGAGGCGAGUGGAAUUCCUGGUGUAGCGGUGGAAUGCGCAGAUAUCAGGAGGAACACCAAUAGCGAAGGCAGCUCGCUGGGACGGUACUGACGCUAAGGCGCGAAAGCGUGGGGAGCGAACAGG